UAACGGCGAGUGAAGCGGGAAGAGCUCAAAUUUGAAAUCUGGUAGCCUUCGGUUGCCCGAGUUGUAAUCUAGAGAAGUGUUUUCCGUGCCGGCCCAUGUACAAGUCCCUUGGAACAGGGCGUCAUAGAGGGUGAGAAUCCCGUCCUUGACAUGGACCCCCGGUGCUUUGUGAUACACUUUCAACGAGUCGAGUUGUUUGGGAAUGCAGCUCAAAAUGGGUGGUGAAUUCCAUCUAAAGCUAAAUAUUGGCGAGAGACCGAUAGCGAACAAGUACCGUGAGGGAAAGAUGAAAAGCACUUUGGAAAGAGAGUUAAACAGUACGUGAAAUUGUUGAAAGGGAAACGAUUGAAGUCAGUCAUGCUCUUGGGACUUACCUCCCUUGAGUGGGGUCAACAUCAGUUUUGAUCGAUGGAUAAAGGCACGGGGAAGGUAGCACUCUCGGGUGAACUUAUAGCCUCGCGUCAUAUACAUUGAUUGGGACUGAGGAACGCAGCAUGCCUUAUGGCCGGGAUUCGUCCACGUACAUGCUUAGGAUGUUGACAUAAUGGCUUUAAACGAC
rnacentral:rRNA from 1 species